rnacentral:piRNA from 1 species
CAAAUAGGGACAGUCAUGACAGGUGA